rnacentral:rRNA from 1 species
UACGUAGGUCCCGAGCGUUGUCCGGAUUCACUGGGCGUAAAGCGCGCGCAGGCGGCCUCGCAAGUCGGAUGUGAAAGCCUCGGGCUCAACUCGGGGAGGCCAUCCGAAACUGCGGGGCUUGAGGGUGGAAGAGGAGAGUGGAAUUCCCGGUGUAGCGGUAAAAUGCGUAGAUACCGGGAGGAACACCAGUGGCGAAAGCGGCUCUCUGGUCCGCCCUUGACGCUCAGGCGCGAAAGCUAGGGGAGCGACCGGG